CAGACAUUGCUAAGUAGCAUCAUUUCUAUGAAGAAUGUAAACACUAUCAUUCUUGAAACAAGACGUCCAAUUAUAUGAGAAUCAAUGAUUUAGUUACUCCAGACCUUAGCCACUACAAUCCAGGAUAUCAAUCUCCAAGCAGAAUAACAGAAACUGGGUGAGAGGGGAGCACACACGGGCAGCUGGAGGAAGAAACAUGUCAUUUUCCACGUGUAAACAGAGCAGCUAGAUAUUGAGCAUGAAGCAUGAGUCAAUGAGCUCUAUGAAGACCUGGCCUGCGCCCAUCAUCUCUAUGACCCUAGAUGUCAGCACUGCACCUGGCAUAGCUGAAGGCCUCUGCAUCAUGCUGCAGUUGUGGAGCCAGAAGCUUUCCAGACCUGGAGGGAGAAAGGGCCUUGGCUGGAGGAAGAGAAAUCUCCUAGAUCUGAGAAGAGUUCACGAGCCCCGCCUCUCAAGCCCUUUAUCAUGUAACAUUCUUGCUGUGGCUCAACCAGGCCAUCUGUUGUUACCUCAUCCUUCAGUGUCCAUGUUCUCUCCCUCCUCCAUCUGUGCAUAUGACUCUCGGGUUUUCUACUAUGACAUUUCCCCACUCUCCUACCAAGUGAGGGGCUUGGGAUUGGUUUUCCAAGGAACUGGCUUCCUGUACUAUUUGGGAGGCUGGCUGCAAAGCUAUGUUGUCCUAAGUACUAAAUACAAUAUUAAAUAAUCCCUGGUAAAAGAUUUUUAGGAAUUACUAUCUCACAA